GAAUAAUAUUAUAUUGAGAUAUUUAAUACUAUUUAGAAGAAUUAAAAUAAAUUUGAUUUGUAUUGUUUUAAUCUAAAUUAUAUUCAAUAAUCCUUGAAAAUUAAAGUGAUUGAUGUUAACAUAUGAAGUUUAAAAUGGUCGUACUCAUCACCGCAUCAGGUCUCUAAGGUGAAAAGCCUCUAGUUGAUUAGAAAUAAUGCAGGUAAGGAAAGUCGGCAAAUUAGAUCCGUAACUUCGGGAAAUGGAUUGGCUCAUAAAAAUUAUAAAAUAAUAAAAAAGAAGGUAAAAUUUUUUUUUAUUUUUUAAAUUAAUUAUGAACUGAUACGAUCAUGGGGAAUCCGACUGUUUAAUUAAAACAAAGCAUUGCGAAACUUUUAACUAGAUUUUUACGUAAUGUGAUUUCUGCUCAGUGCUCUGAAUGUCAAAGUGAAGUAAUUCAACCAAGCGCGGGUAAAC
rnacentral:rRNA from 1 species